rnacentral:tRNA from 1 species
GUGGACGUAGCUCAAUUGGUAGAGCCACGGCUUGUGAUGCCGGUGGUUGAGGGUUCGAGUCCCUUCGUCCACCCCA